rnacentral:rRNA from 1 species
GAACGUACGCUGGCGGCACGCCUAACACAUGCAAGUCGAACGAAGUAGCAAUACUUAGUGGCAGACGGGUGAGUAACAUGUAGGUAUCUGCCCUUUGGCCUGGAAUAACACGAGGAAACUUGUGCUAAUACCGGAUAAGUCUUUACGGAGAAAGCUUUAUGCACCAUUGGAUGAGCCUGCACUUGAUUAGUUUGUUGGUGGGGUAAUGGCCUACCAAGACUGUGAUCAAUAGCUGAUUUGAGAGGAUGAUCAGCCACAUUGGGACUGAGACACGGCCCAAACUCCUACGGGAGGCAGCAGUGGGGAAUCUUGCACAAUGGAGGAAACUCUGAUGCAGCGAUGCCGCGUGAGUGAAGAAGGCCCUUGGGUUGUAAAGCUCUUUCGUCGGGGAAGAAAAUGACUGUACCCGAAUAAGAAGGUCCGGCUAACUUCGUGCCAGCAGCCGCGGUAAUACGAAGGGACCUAGCGUAGUUCGGAAUUACUGGGCUUAAAGAGUUCGUAGGUGGUUGAAAAAGUUAGUGGUGAAAUCCCAGAGCUUAACUCUGGAACUGCCAUUAAAACUUUUCAGCUAGAGUAUGAUAGAGGAAAGCAGAAUUUCUAGUGUAGAGGUGAAAUUCGUAGAUAUUAGAAAGAAUACCAAAUGCGAAGGCAGCUUUCUGGAUCAUUACUGACACUGAGGAACGAAAGCAUGGGUAGCGAAGAGGAUUAGAUACCCUCGUAGUCCAUGCCGUAAACGAUGUGUGUUAGACGUUGGAAAUUUAUUUUCAGUGUCGCAGCGAAAGCGAUAAACACACCGCCUGGGGAGUACGACCGCAAGGUUAAAACUCAAAUGAAUUGACGGGGACCCGCACAAGUAGUGGAGCAUGUGGUUUAAUUCGAAGAUACGCGCAGAACCUUACCAACACUUGACAUGUUCGUCGCGACUCUAAGAGAUUAGAGUUUUCGGUUCGGCCGGACGAAACACAGGUGCUGCAUGGCUGUCGUCAGCUCGUGUCGUGAGAUGUUGGGUUAAGUCCCGCAACGAGCGCAACCCUCACUUUUAGUUGCCAUCAUUAAGUUGGGCACUCUGAAAGAACUGCCAGUGAUAAGCUGGAGGAAGGUGGGGAUGACGUCAAGUCCUCAUGGCCCUUACGUGUUGGGCUACACACGUGCUACAAUGGUAUCUACAACAGGAAGCAAGACUGCGAAGUUAAGCAAAUCCCUAAAAGAUACCUCAGUUCGGAUUGCACUCUGCAACUCGAGUGCAUGAAGCUGGAAUUACUAGUAAUCGUGGAUCAGCGUGCCACGGUGAAUGCGUUCCCGGGUCUUGUACACACCGC